rnacentral:misc_RNA from 1 species
GAUGAAGAACGUAGCGAAAUGCGAUAAGUAAUGCGAAUUGCAGAAUUCCAGUGAGUCAUCGAAUCUUUGAACGCACAUUGCGCCCUUUGGUAUUCCGAAGGGCAUGCCUGUUCGAGCGUCAUUAUCACCCCUCAAGCCCUCGGCUUGGUGUUGGAUGGUUUGGUGGAGGCCCCCUCGGGGGCUCCUGCCCCUCCCAAAGACAAUGACGGCGGCCUCGUUGGACCCCCGGUACACUGAGUUCUUCACGGGACACGUAUCGGACACAUGGGUUUACGGGACACGGUCUGCCUCCCCUCAGGGAGAAUCUUUCUAAGGUUGACCUCGGAUCAGGUAGGGAUACCCGCUGAACUUAAGCAUAUCAAUAAGCGGAGGA